UUGAAAUAGUCUUUGCAGCAAUUUUUUUUUUCAAAUAUAAACUGCAACAGUGAAAAAAAGAGAUUAGACAUUUAGCAUUCAAUUUAUCUCAUUAGCUUUAGCGUUGAAGUAUUUGUUUUUCUUCACAUUAAAAGUUCACAACUAUUUUAAGUGGAAUAACUGUAGAACAAACUGAUUAAAUAGCUCUUUGAAGGAAACUUAGAAAAGUAUACAUUUAUUUGAACAUUGAAAGCACCAUUUAUCAAAUUUUCUUUGUUAGUGUUCACCUUUUUUCCUUUAUUGCUGGCUGUAGUUGGUGAUUUAAAUGUAGCUCCACCCAGUUACAUUGACUCUGGAGGCAUUGGGGGUGGAUUUUUAUAAUUGGGCAACUCCUCAUGAAUUUCAAUGGGGACAGCUGGUGUCCACAAAGUCCAGUAGGGUGGCUAGAUACCCAUCAGACACAUCAAUCAGCUGACCUGCAGUCACUUACUCGCAGUGAGCUUGUAGCAAAAUGUCACUGUCUGCAGGUGUCUCUGGUCAGUUCAUACAUUAGAUUAAAAAAAAAGUCAUUCCUGGUCAGAAGGUUGUAAAAGUGACUGACUUUUUCACUUUUUUUUAUCUGUGGCCCCAGGGCGGAAACAUAACUUGUCCCCUUUGCCCAGUUACAAGCAUUUGACUGAAAAUUGCUGGCAGCUGCCUGAGUCAAAGCACCUUUUCAAAGCAUUAAGAAAGGUGUAUUGAGGGAACCUCAAAGGAAAUGAGAUGGAAUUAGGCAAUCUGUAGAGGGUGCUAGACUUUUUGAAUCACAGUGCAUCAAAUAAAAGACUUGUUCUGUCCAAAAGGAGGGAAAACUGCAAUAUUUUUUGUGUGAACUUUUCAAGUUCUGCAGGCAUUAAUGGGUGCGAGCCCUUUUAAAAAGAUAGGUCUUGCUGAGUUUGGCAGAGCCAUUAUAGAGUUACAAGUGAGCCUCCACUGCCCCCUUUCUGCUCUUUGAUUAAAAUCCAGUGUGACAUGUAGGACACCAUGUAAACUGCUUGUGUGUGUAAAUGUGUUUCAGUGCUUGUAUUUAGGCAAAGUUGGGUGGGCAGUAGCGGGGGUUGUGCAGGACUAUCAUGUGCAAAAAGCACAUGUGUAUGUUGCAGAGAUUUCUCCCUUGGCCUCUUAUUCACACUUACAGUCCCUUAUUUAAUCAAGGCAGCAAAUCUUAGAAGCAGCCCAGUGCUCUCACCACUGUUCCCCUGGUGGCACGAGCCUUAACAUGCUAAAUUUCACUUGGGUAGGGAAAUGUGCUCGGUGGCUGUGGCUGGUGCUUUGGAGGGAUAAAAAGAGCACUUACUCGCUGACAUGUGCAAUCCAUAACAGAAUAAUGAGACUCCUCCAUUGGCGAGCUCCCUUCCCCUUCUCUCUCCUUGUCCACUUUUUGUUUUCCUUGUGAGUGUUCAUAAAUGCCAUGUAAAUUCAGCAAGCGGAAGAUGUGACGAGCGCUCUGGGAGGAGCAUUUAAUCGUUUGCGUCUUGUUACUGGUUAUCAUAACAGCACAAGGGGAGAGAAGAUCCUGCAAACAACUUGUGAAAUUUGGGGCCAAAGCACAAUCACCUACGAUAGCAGCGGGCUAUUGCUCACCCUGUCCCUGGAGGCGACAGCCCACUUACUGCCAGCUUGUGCUCAAAUGGAGGACAUUUCAUCACCCCACUGAAAACACAAUUAAAACCACAUGCAUGAGCCAGCCGCCCUCCCUCCCCCCCAGAGAGCCACCCCGUGCCACAAGUUUAGUGCCUGUGAGACAGCUUGACCCUCUCAGAUAUUUACUUUCACAACGACUGAGUAUUUGUCAGCUGGAGUCGCAAGAUGUUAAGUGUCGUGAGUGUACGACACAGGUAGAAAGAGAUGAAGUGGGGCGCUGUUUAAUGCUCCACACUCCGGGAGACAUCCGCUGCCUUGUAGCUUCGACAGUUUACUGAUAAGUGGCAGUCGUCCAGGCCAGGAUAUUUUUCCUUCCGCCCUGGGAAGGCAAAACGAAGAGCAGUUCAAUGAGGUUUGUGGCAAUGGGUUCUUUUUUUUUUUUUUUUUCUUUCUUCCCAUGCACACACAUACUGUAAACGCACUCACACCAUGCAGGAAGCGAGGAAGACUGACGGCUAUUAGAGUGCAACGACGCUUACCCUUAUCUUGCACCACGAUAGAGAUCUACAAAGAGCCUGGGAGAGAUUAUGAAUUCAUUACCUUGAUACACAAGUGAGCACUACAACAGACAGGAGUUUGAGAAUGGAGAUAGGAGCUUGUUGGGUGCAGGAGGAGGAUUUGGUAAGGGAAUGUGGUGAAUACAACCUGCUGAUAGGGGAUGACUCUGUCUGCUCACUCUGCUUUUUUUUUUUUUUUUUUUUUUUAGCAAUGUAGAAGGACACAAAGAAAGCUUUAUUUCAUGUGGUUGCACUUACAAAAUUUCUAAUAAAAACCUAUCAC